rnacentral:lncRNA from 1 species
UCAACAUUCAAAUAACCAAUUAUGCUUCACAUGUUUCAGUCUAUGAGUAGCACCAGCAAAAAAGUGGAUAUGGAAUCAAUCAUGGCAUUCAACUAUAAUAAGGCUAAGCAAGUGUUCCAAAAUUCUCAAGACAUCAUUAUUCUAAAGCAUUUUCUAUUCAGCAAAUAAAACGUUCUCUAGGCUAAGCAAGUGUUCCAAAAUUCUCAAGACAUCAUUAUUCUAAAGCAUUUUCUAUUCAGCAAAACCUGCUUGGUUCUGAUUUUGUAACAAAUCAUUCCUUCAUUGGCUUUAACAAUAACAAGCUUCUAGCUUAACUCUCACUGUUUAUUUUGCUCAAAUUAAAUCGCUAUCACCAAUCAAAAAGCCAUUAUCUCCAAAGUUACUUGCGCAACCAUCUUCUGUUAUCAUUAGGAUAUUCAAGUAAAUUACGAUAUAAAGAAAGUGGGGUUCACGAGUUCAUACAAUCAGACAU